rnacentral:rRNA from 1 species
CGUGUGCUUACAAGUAGUCAGAGCCCGUUAAUGGGUGAUGGCGUGCCUUUUGUAGAAUGAACCGGCGAGUUACGAUUUGAUGCAAGGUUAAGCAGUAAAUGUGGAGCCGUAGCGAAAGCGAGUCUGAAUAGGGCGUUUAGUAUUUGGUCGUAGACCCGAAACCAGGUGAUCUACCCUUGGUCAGGUUGAAGUUCAGGUAACACUGAAUGGAGGACCGAACCGACUUACGUUGAAAAGUGAGCGGAUGAACUGAGGGUAGCGGAGAAAUUCCAAUCGAACCUGGAGAUAGCUGGUUCUCUCCGAAAUAGCUUUAGGGCUAGCCUCAAGUGAUGAUUAUUGGAGGUAGAGCACUGUUUGGACGAGGGGCCCCUCUCGGGUUACCGAAUUCAGACAAACUCCGAAUGCCAAUUAAUUUAACUUGGGAGUCAGAACAUGGGUGAUAAGGUCCGUGUUCGAAAGGGAAACAGCCCAGACCACCAGCUAAGGUCCCAAAAUAUAUGUUAAGUGGAAAAGGAUGUGGCGUUGCCCAGACAACUAGGAUGUUGGCUUAGAAGCAGCCAUCAUUUAAAGAGUGCGUAAUAGCUCACUAGUCGAGUGACACUGCGCCGAAAAUGUACCGGGGCUAAACAUAUUACCGAAGCUGUGGAUUGUCCUUUGGACAAUGGUAGGAGAGCGUUCUAAGGGCGUUGAAGCAUGAUCGUAAGGACAUGUGGAGCGCUUAGAAGUGAGAAUGCCGGUGUGAGUAGCGAAAGACGGGUGAGAAUCCCGUCCACCGAUUGACUAAGGUUUCCAGAGGAAGGCUCGUCCGC